rnacentral:rRNA from 1 species
AUUAGACGAAUCAUCUGGAAAGAUGAAUCAAAGAAGGUAAUAAUCCUGUAGUCGAAAAUGUUGUCUCUCUUGAGUGGAUCCUGAGUACGACGGAGCACGUGAAAUUCCGUCGGAAUCUGGGAGGACCAUCUCCUAAGGCUAAAUACUCUCUAGUGACCGAUAGUGAACCAGUACCGUGAGGGAAAGGUGAAAAGCACCCCGGAAGGGGAGUGAAAUAGAACCUGAAACCGUGUGCUUACAAGUAGUCAGAGCCCGUUAAUGGGUGAUGGCGUGCCUUUUGUAGAAUGAACCGGCGAGUUACGAUUUGAUGCAAGGUUAAGCAGUAAAUGUGGAGCCGUAGCGAAAGCGAGUCUGAAUAGGGCGUUUAGUAUUUGGUCGUAGACCCGAAACCAGGUGAUCUACCCUUGGUCAGGUUGAAGUUCAGGUAACACUGAAUGGAGGACCGAACCGACUUACGUUGAAAAGUGAGCGGAUGAACUGAGGGUAGCGGAGAAAUUCCAAUCGAACCUGGAGAUAGCUGGUUCUCUCCGAAAUAGCUUUAGGGCUAGCCUCAAGUGAUGAUUAUUGGAGGUAGAGCACUGUUUGGACGAGGGGCCCCUCUCGGGUUACCGAAUUCAGACAAACUCCGAAUGCCAAUUAAUUUAACUUGGGAGUCAGAACAUGGGUGAUAAGGUCCGUGUUCGAAAGGGAAACAGCCCAGACCACCAGCUAAGGUCCCAAAAUAUAUGUUAAGUGGAAAAGGAUGUGGCGUUGCCCAGACAACUAGGAUGUUGGCUUAGAAGCAGCCAUCAUUUAAAGAGUGCGUAAUAGCUCACUAGUCGAGUGACACUGCGCCGAAAAUGUACCGGGGCUAAACAUAUUACCGAAGCUGUGGAUUGUCCUUUGGACAAUGGUAGGAGAGCGUUCUAAGGGCGUUGAAGCAUGAUCGUAAGGACAUGUGGAGCGCUUAGAAGUGAGAAUGCCGGUGUGAGUAGCGAAAGACGGGUGAGAAUCCCGUCCACCGAUUGACUAAGGUUUCCAGAGGAAGGCUCGUCCGCUCUGGGUUAGUCGGGUCCUAAGCUGAGGCCGACAGGCGUAGGCGAUGGAUAACAGGUUGAUAUUCCUGUACCACCUAUAAUCGUUUUAAUCGA